rnacentral:rRNA from 1 species
GGUAAUGCCGGAUGCUCCAGUUGAUCGCAUGGUCUUCUGGGAAAGCUUUCGCGGUAUGGGAUGGGGUCGCGUCCUAUCAGCUUGACGGCGGGGUAACGGCCCACCGUGGCUUCGACGGGUAGCCGGCCUGAGAGGGCGACCGGCCACAUUGGGACUGAGAUACGGCCCAGACUCCUACGGGAGGCAGCAGUGGGGAAUAUUGCACAAUGGGCGCAAGCCUGAUGCAGCGACGCCGCGUGAGGGAUGGAGGCCUUCGGGUUGUAAACCUCUUUUAUCGGGGAGCAAGCGAGAGUGAGUUUACCCGUUGAAUAAGCACCGGCUAACUACGUGCCAGCAGCCGCGGUAAUACGUAGGGUGCAAGCGUUAUCCGGAAUUAUUGGGCGUAAAGGGCUCGUAGGCGGUUCGUCGCGUCCGGUGUGAAAGUCCAUCGCUUAACGGUGGAUCCGCGCCGGGUACGGGCGGGCUUGAGUGCGGUAGGGGAGACUGGAAUUCCCGGUGUAACGGUGGAAUGUGUAGAUAUCGGAAAAAAAACA